rnacentral:rRNA from 1 species
GAUGAACGCUGGCGGCGUGCCUAACACAUGCAAGUCGAACGGACAGGCCCUUCGGGUUGGCUCAGUGGCGUACGGGCGAGCAACACGUUAACAACUUGCCCAUCUCUCUGUGACAACCGCAGGACACGGUGGCUAAUACCGGAUACCACCCGCCUCUGUUGCACGGGAUGGUGGAAAGUUGUUCGGCGGUGGUUAGGCCGCCUGCCUAUCAGCUUGUUCGUGAGUGGCUGGCUGACCAAGGCGACGACUGAUAGCCGGCCGGUGAGGAGGACCGGCCACACUGGGCCUGAGAGACGGCCCAGAAUCCUACGGGAGGCAGCAGGGGGGAACAUUGCACAAUGGACGAAAGCCUGAUGCAGCGACGCCGCGUGCGGGAUGACCGCCUUCGGGUUGUAAACCUCUUUCAGCUCCGAAGAAGCGAAAGUGACGGUAGGUGCAGAAGAAGCACCGGCUAACUACGUG